GACGAACGCUGGCGGCGUGCCUAAUACAUGCAAGUAGAACGCUGAAGAGAGGAGCUUCCUCUUCUUGGAUGAGUUGCGAACGGGUGAGUAACGCGUAGGUAACCUGCCUUGUAGCGGGGGAUAACUAUUGGAAACGAUAGCUAAUACCGCAUAACAAUGGAUGACACAUGUCAUUUAUUUGAAAGGGGCAAUUGCUCCACUACAAGAUGGACCUGCGUUGUAUUAGCUAGUAGGUGAGGUAAUGGCUCACCUAGGCGACGAUACAUAGCCGACCUGAGAGGGUGAUCGGCCACACUGGGACUGAGACACGGCCCAGACUCCUACGGGAGGCAGCAGUAGGGAAUCUUCGGCAAUGGGGGCAACCCUGACCGAGCAACGCCGCGUGAGUGAAGAAGGAUUUCGGAUCGUAAAGCUCGGUUGUAAGUCAAGAACGGGUGUGAGAGUGGAAAGUUCACACUGUGACGGUAGCUUACCAGAAAGGGACGGCUAACUACGUG
rnacentral:rRNA from 1 species